rnacentral:rRNA from 1 species
GACGAACGCUGGCGGCGUGCUUAACACAUGCAAGUCGUACGGUAAGGCCCUUUCGGGGGUACACGAGUGGCGAACGGGUGAGUAACACGUGAGUAACCUGCCCACAACUUUGGGAUAACGCUAGGAAACUGGUGCUAAUACUGGAUAUGUGCUCCUGCUGCAUGGUGGGGGUUGGAAAGCUCCGGCGGUUGUGGAUGGACUCGCGGCCUAUCAGCUUGUUGGUGGGGUAGUGGCCUACCAAGGCGGCGACGGGUAGCCGGCCUGAGAGGGUGACCGGCCACAUUGGGACUGAGAUACGGCCCAGACUCCUACGGGAGGCAGCAGUGGGGAAUAUUGCACAAUGGGCGCAAGCCUGAUGCAGCAACGCCGCGUGCGGGAGGACGGCCUUCGGGUUGUAAACCGCUUUCAGCAGGGACGAAGCUUUUUGUGACGGUACCUGCAGAAGAAGCACCGGCUAACUACGUG